AUCUACGGCCAUAUUUAGGAGAAAACACCAGUUCCCGUCCGGUUACUACAGUAAAGCGUCUGAGGGCCUAGCCUCGUUGGUACUAUGGUUGGAGACAACAUGGGAAUCCAGGGUGCUAUAGACC
rnacentral:rRNA from 1 species